AGGAUUUUUAAAAAUCAUUUAUUAAACCCUUACAGUUACCAGUGGAGGUGGGUGGGUGUGCUUUUCCAGAACAAUUUCACAUGAACAAAAAAGUGUUUGGAGACAUUCUGUGAGCCAGUGGAAGAGGUUUCCAGAGGGUUCACCAGUCAAAGACCAGUCAGUCUGUUCUGUGGGGGCUCUGGAGAGGCUCGCUGACUCUGAAGAGUGGAGUCAGCAGAAACUGCCCCCCUGCCAGCAGCGGUGAGGCAGUGCCUGCAUCCAGACCUUCCGCAAGCUCUUCUUCUGAGGCUUUGCACUUCCCAGGGGCAGGCUGGGCCGGGAGGACAAGGGUCGAAGGGAUAUAAAGGCCCAGGUAGGUCCAAAGAAAGGGCUACUUCUUCAGAUGAGGUGGCCUCCGCCAGUUCCUUCCACUCCCCACCCAAGGCCACUUAGGCAGCCCAGCAUCCCCUACCCUGGCUCAAGUGGCCUCCUCUGUCCUCUUUUAGGAACAGGAGGUCACAGGGCUUCCCAUCUGAUGAGUCUGGAAGCUGGUACACAUCCACGUGCCAGCGCUCCCACAUAUAGAGCACCCACAUGCAAACCGGGCACAGCUGGACAUCUGGGCAGAGCCACACACAGCUCCCCGACUUCCACACAUGCACACAAGUGCAAGACACAAGGUCACACUCCAACACUGUCACCCCAAGUGCAUAAAAACAUUCCCCAUAGACGUCAAAGACAGGCAUGUUCAUAUACAGCAAUUCAUACACACACACACACACACACACACACACACACACACACACCCCACAUACACACGGGCCCUCAUAAAUACUCUCUGCUUACACACUUUAUAUAACAUCUAUGUAGCAGCUACUGUGGGCUUCUGCUCAGAUCCCCUGCUUCUCUCUGCAAUGAAGCUUCCGCUCGCCCAGGCAAGGUCACCCAGCAGGACAGAGUCCAAAAGCAGAGGUACAAAAGCCAGGCCCCCCUGCCCUGGUUCAGGACCACUCUUCAGGGCCAUGAUAGCUUCAGAACCUUUGUUAUUGCAGCAACACAAUUCCUCCCCUUACCCAGUCCUGCUUCUGUCAUUUCCAGGAGGCGAGGGCCACAGUGCUCCUCCAAGAGGUACAAGUCUGAGCAGAGCUCUCUCUUUUCUUAAGGGUCUUCAGUCCUCUAGUCUGGACAUGAUUAGAACUUUUCUUCCUGCAGUCUGAAGUUGACCUGCAGCCUGGGCCUGGAGCAGAAGCCCCAAGAUGAUUCCUGGACAGGCCACCAAAGAGCUGACUCCAGGUUUGGAACAGAUUGGGGGAGCCUCCCUAAUAUCUGCAUUCAGUGCUGAAAUUGGUAAAAGGAAUCCCCGCUCCACCUGUGCUUCUGUUCCUCAUCUCAAGCCCCAGUUGGCUCUGUGACUGCGGGCAAGACUUCCCUCCUUUGGCCUCAAGUUUUCCAUAUAUACAGUGGGACACAGGCUUCCUGCAGUAUCUCUAAAGGGGUGCAAGGCCUGGUCUAGACCUAUGCUGCUCAAAAUGGGGUCCACUGGCCAGCAGCACUGGCCUCACUGGUUAGAGAAGCUGAAUCGCAGGCCCCACCCAAGACUUGCCGCGUCAGAAUCUGCAUUUUUACAAGAUCCCUGGGUGGUUCCGAUGAAGUCCCAGAGAAGCUCCAGACACCAUGGAACAGAGCACAGUAUCCAGUCAUUUCUAACUGCUGGAAUCCAGAGCCUGUGAAUGUCUGAACCCAAACAUCAGCCAGACUGCCCAGCGAGGGGCUUGCAUGUGGUUGUUUUUCUUUUUCUUUCUUUCCUUUUUUUUUUUUAGGGCCAUAGGUGCGGCAUAUGGAAGUUCCCCGGCGGAGUCG
rnacentral:lncRNA from 1 species